GACGUAGGGCGCGAGCGUUGUCCGGAUUUAUUGGGCGUAAAGAGCUCGUAGGCGGCUUGUCGCGUCGUCCGUGAAAACUUGGGGCUCAACCCCAAGCUUGCGGUCGAUACGGGCAGGCUCGAGUUCGGUAGGGGAGACUGGAAUUCCUGGUGUAGCGGUGAAAUGCGCAGAUAUCAGGAAGAACACCAAUGGCGAAAGCAGCUCUCUGGGACGGUACUGACGCUGAGACGCGAAAGCGUGGGGAGCGAACAGG
rnacentral:rRNA from 1 species